GGCUAGAAUGAACGGAAUAACGAAACUCUGACUAUAUUUUUCUCACACCUAUAAACUAUAUUUCAGGUGAAGAUACCUGAAUUAAUUUGAAAGACAAGAAGACCCUAUAGAGUUUUAGUAUAUUUCUUUACUAAAUUACCACUACUUUGGUUGGGGCGACUUAGGAUUUAUAAAUAACAUCCUUAUAUUAAAACGAAUCUCUAAUAAAAUAUCCCUUUACCGGAACAUUAAAUAAACUACCUUAGGGAUAACAGGCUUAUCUUCCUAAAGAGUUCACAUCGAUAGGAAGGUUUGGCACCUCGAUGUUGGCUUAGAGUAACCUAAUAAAGCAGAAA
rnacentral:rRNA from 1 species